rnacentral:tRNA from 1 species
AGCCCACGGCGGGGCUCGAACCCGCAGCCUUGGGAU